GAAGAGAUCGAGAAGCAGCUCAACAAGGAACGUCUCGGCUGGCUGAGAAGCGUGGAUUCAGGGCGCUCCCAGCUUGAUUCUACUUCUCGAGAGCUGGAGGUUACAAAGAAGGCAGGUGACAAAUCUAAAGAUGGUGGCCACGACGACGGCAAAGAGCUCUCAGAGAAGCAAGAAAAGGCUCUUGAGGAGCGCAUUCAAGCCGAGAAGCGGAAGCGUUUCCUCAUUGCAAAGUACCAGCAGGAGCAAAUCUCGCUGAAGAAGCAAGCUGACUUAGCCAAGCGCGAAAGGGCUCA